CCAUUAUUCCCUGAAGGCAGUUAACAAGGGUUUUGUAAAAAAAAAGUCAAGGCUUUUUACUCAUGAUAAUUCUACCAUAAUGGCACAGCUUCUGUUGCUAUGGCAUAGGAAUUCUGAGCUCUCCACUGGUUUCUCCCAAAGGUGGCUCUAGGGUAUGAACUCCAGGCCCUUCUCCCAAAGUACUCUCCAGAAGAAUGGCUACUUCUAUCACCAUGGAGGCUUUGCUGUCAUUGCCAAAAGCAUUUGGACCACUCAGAACUUGCUUUUGAAAAAUUUAUGAGAACCAUCAAAAUGCAUAGGAGGUGCAUCCUUGCAUUGCAGAAUGAAUACAGUUCCGGUGAGCCAGUCCUUCAGAGAUGCUUCUACUCCUUCUGUGGUUCCCAGAGAAAAGGAAGGACUUCUCCACCAUGACCCAGAACCUCAUUAUUGGAAAAGGCUCAUCAUUCUGCAACAGCCUAUCAGCCUUGGUACUCUACCUCAUCCUGACAUACUGUCCAUCUGAUUGGAGGGUAGACCCGGGAUCUCUAAAACGUCCAUUUAAGAGAGAUCAAGCUCUGAGACUUUCUGAAGAGGAUCAUCCUUCCUCACGAAGUCAAGAAGGAAUUAUAUACUGGAUGUUCAUGGCCACUCCUUAAGAAGUUCUCCUGACAAAAUUAAGAUGACAGUAACUUUUUCCUUUCAUUUCCCAGAUUUCUUUAUCAACUUCUAAGACAUAACCAUUGUGUUAUAAAUUACUUUUGCAAUUAUUUACUCAUCUGCUCUUUGUCUUUUCCAUUUAGUUUUUAAAUUUUAAAUUUUAUUUAUAUUUCCAUUUAUUGUUCUUUUUUUGCUUAACAGAUUGAAUUUCUUCUCAAGAAGAAUGACUUUUAUG
rnacentral:lncRNA from 1 species